CCUACGGGAGGCAGCAGUGAGGAAUAUUGGGCAAUGGCCGGAAGGCUGAACCAGCCAAGUCGCGGGAAGGAAGAAGGAGCUAUGGUGUGUAAACUUCUUUUAUAGGGGAAUAAAGGCAGCCACGUGUGGAGAUUUGCAUGUACCCUAUGAAUAAGCAUCGGCUAACUCCGUGCCAGCAGCCGCGGUAAUACGGAGGAUGCGAGCGUUAUCCGGAUUUAUUGGGUUUAAAGGGUGCGUAGGUUUUUUUUUAAGUCAGCGGUGAAAGUUUGUGGCUCAACCAUAAAAUUGCCGUUGAAACUGGCAGUCUUUAGUGUGUUUGCGGUAGGCGGCCUGCGUGGUGUAGCGGUGUACUGCCUCGAUCUCACGC
rnacentral:rRNA from 1 species